AUUAUUCUCCGUUAACCACUGCUGAUGGGGCCAGGCAAAAGAAUCACACAGUCACUGUUUCUGCUGGUUGAUUCAUCAGGACAGAUGGUUGUGAUUGUUGCAUCAUCAUCAUAGAGGUCAGAUCAUUGAGUGCUUCCAGUUGUCUGAUCCUGAGGGAUUCCAUCUGGUACAUGAAUGGCUGCUAAAAGGCUGCCCUUAACCUGGCUUUCCCACACAAUGGGGAAGCUGACUUCCGACCUCUGCAGGCUACAAGGGGAGGAGCCCAAGAAUGCUGUUUCUGGAGUCAGUCCGUCUGGGUUUGAAUCCUUGCCUUUCCAUGUAUUAAGGCAAAUGACUUCACUUUCUGAGCCUCAACUUCCGUAUUUGAAAAAUGGGGUAAUCUUAGAAUCUACUUCAUAUGAAUUAAAUGGGGUAAUCUUAGAAUCUACUUCAUACAACACAUUGCUGGAAUGUUUAUUUAUUUAUUUAUUUAUUUAUUUUAGGGCUGCACACACAGCAUAUGGAAGUUCCCAGGCUAGGGGUUGAAUCAGAGCUGUAGCUGUCGGCCUAGGCCACAGCCACAGCAAACACAGGAUCCUUAACCCACUGAGCAAGGCCAGGGAUUGAACCUGCGCCCACUUGGAUACUAGUCAGGCUUGUUACUGCUGAGCCACAACAGAACUCCAGCUGGCAUUUCUAAAGUGUUGAUUGCUAGUGCUGUGGUUAUGACUGUCGUUAUCAACAUUAUUAUGGAGCUGUUCCUCUCCCCUGACUUCAACAUGAAAAACUUCAGGAGUUCAUUCUGAUUGGCCCAGCUUGAGUCAUGUGCUCACUCCUGUGGUCAAGGGGGUGGGGAAUCAUGAUGGGUGGCUCCACUGGAUACAAAUGGAUGGUUGGAUGUGGGGUGUUGGUGCCUGAAUGAAGGAAAGUCUGCUUCUGGAAGAAGGAAGGGUGGGAUAAUGGGGACUAACAGGAGGUGUCCCCUCCAGGGAAUGAGGUCAGUGGAUAAAGAAAGGGACUGGAAUCUUCACUACCUGUUCCUCUCAUUUUGACAGCUGCAUACUUUCAUACAUUCUGCUUAAGUGAAUUUGACAUGAGGAUUUCCUAAAGGCAGGGAUCUGGUGUCUGCAGAAUCUAUUAUAGGUCCUAUUUGAUGACUUAGGUGCCACAUGGAGAGGCAGCAGGACCCAGGGUGGCCAGUUGUCAAGGUUGGCUGGCUGGGCAGAGUGCACAGCCAACAUCAUAGGGUGCCAUGUGCUUCUUCUUCUUCUUCAUUUUUNUUUUUUUUUUUUUUUGCUUUUUAGGGCUGCACCUUUGGCAUAUGGAGGUUCCCAGGCUAGGGGUCUAAUCAGAGCUAUAGCGGCCGACCUAUGUCACAGCCAUAGCAACACCAUAUUGGAGCCGCAUCUGUGACCUACACCACAGCUCACAGCAAUGCCAGAUCCUUAACCCACUGAGUGAGGCCAGGGUUCGAACGUGCAACCUCAUGUUCCUAGUCCUAUUUGUUAACCACUGAGCCACGAUGGGAACUCCUGCCAUGUGCUUCUUAAGCAAUUUCUUCAGGCUUUGGCCCACAGUGCCACUCUUCUUCCCAGCACCCACAGAAAAGUCCAUGGUCCUCUGGGAGGGAUCAGCUGUGCAGGUCUGACGCUGAACCUGUCUUAUCCGUGAAAGUGGCACAGUGGAGAGGCCAGUUUCAUGCUGUUUCUAUUCUAAUAAUGAUUGCACCACCUCUGCUGGAAUAAGGCCCAUCUGUAGAGCUCUGGCUGACACACGGCAUGUUUACUUUCCCUUCCCACCAAUCUCAGUCCAGAUGUGUAUGAUUUCACAUCUCCGCAGACAUCCACAUUUACGCGCCACACCUUUGGACAAAGGUCAGAUAACAAUGGGCAGAGCAAACACCACUAUAGCCCUCACCAUGUGCCAGGCACUCUGAUGCAGAAAGCAGGCACUGAGCCUUGCUGAGUUGGAGUCUGGUGUUUUUCAUUCCUGUGGAAGAUUUGAGACCCAAAGAGGGGAGAUUGUGUGUUUAAUAUCUAGAAGCCAGGAGCUGAAGAGGAGUGGCUUUUAUAGGCAGCUCACAGUAAAGAAGGGAACACAGCGAACAGCUCAUUAGAGGGUGUUGUGAUAGAUGCUGCAAGAGGGAAAGGAGUCGACCCGUGGCUGCUCAGAAGAGGGAGG
rnacentral:lncRNA from 1 species